ACAAACUUGGUCAUUUAGAGGAAGUAAAAGUCGUAACAAGGUUUCCGUAGGUGAACCUGCGGAAGGAUCAUUAACGAGUUUUUGAAAGGGGUUGUCGCUGGCCAAAACCUAAGGCAUGUGCACGCCCUGCUCAAUCCACUCUCAAACCCCUGUGCACUUCUUGUAGGCUAUGGUGGGAUAGCUGACUUCGGUCAGUUUGAAAGCCUGGUCUAUGUUAUUACAAACGCUUCAGUUCAAGAAUGUCAUAUCGCGUGUAACGCAUAUAUACAACUUUUAGCAACGGAUCUCUUGGCUCUCGCAUCGAUGAAGAACGCAGC
rnacentral:misc_RNA from 1 species